rnacentral:rRNA from 1 species
AUUGAACGCUGGCGGCAGGCCUAACACAUGCAAGUCGAGCGAGAGAGGGACGGGUGAGUAAAGUCUGGGAAACUGCCCGAUGGAGGGGGAUAACUACUGGAGACGGUAGCUACUACCGCAUACGCUCAGAUGUGCCCCGAUGGGAUUAGCUCGUAGGUGGGGUAACGGCUCACCUGGGCGACGAUCCCUCGCUGGUCUGAGAGGAUGACCAGCCACACUGGAUCUGAGACACGGUCCAGACUCCUACGGGAGGCAGCAGUGGGGAAUAUUGCACAAGGGGCGCAAGCCUGAUGCGGCCAUGCCGCGUGUGGGAAGAAGGCCUUCGGGUUGUAAAGCACUUUCAGCGGGGAGGCGUUACCCGCAGAAGAAGCACCGGCUAACUCCGUGCCAGCAGCCGCGGUAAUUC